rfam:Schistosoma mansoni strain Puerto Rico chromosome W, complete genome
GCGUCGGCGGUUCAAUGGUAGAAUGCUCGCCUGCCAAGCGGGCAAUCCGGGUUCGUUUCCCGGCCGAAGCA